AACGAACGCUGGCGGCAUGCCUAACACAUGCAAGUCGAACGAGCCCUUCGGGGCUAGUGGCGCACGGGUGAGUAACGCGUGGGAACCUGCCCUUAGGUUCGGAAUAACUCACCGAAAGGGGUGCUAAUACCGGAUAAUGUCUUCGGACCAAAGAUUUAUCGCCUUUGGAUGGGCCCGCGUUGGAUUAGCUAGUUGGUAGGGUAAAAGCCUACCAAGGCGACGAUCCAUAGCUGGUCUGAGAGGAUGAUCAGCCACAUUGGGACUGAGACACGGCCCAGACUCCUACGGGAGGCAGCAGUGGGGAAUAUUGGGCAAUGGGCGAAAGCCUGACGCAGCCAUGCCGCGUGAGUGAUGAAGGCCUUAGGAUUGUAAAGCUCUUUUACCCGGGAUGAUAAUGACGGUACCGGGAGAAGAAGCUCCGGCUAACUCCGUG
rnacentral:rRNA from 1 species